rnacentral:lncRNA from 1 species
AGUCAUGGUGGCACUGUGACUUGAAUUUGAAAACAGGCAUCUGAUAAGACAAGUCAGAUCUUCAGGGGUAUUUCAUUUGGGGAGUGUCAUGUUUUAUAAAACUUGAACACCUCUAAGAGGAGUAUGUUCUCUAGCUCACCCUGGCUCCCACCACCCUGUGCUGUCUUAUAUCAAGUUGCUUCACACAUGUCUGUAUUUCUGAUUUUUGAGGCCACUUGAAGGCCGACAUUGGACCCCUCACAAAACAGAGCAGAGCAUUUUUUUGUUUUGUUUUUUGUUUCCAUAGGUUAUUGGGGAACAUGUGGUGUUUGGCUACAUGAGUAAAUUCUGUAGUGGUGAUUUGUGAAACUUUGGCACCCAUCACCCGAGCAGUAUACACUGCACCCAAUUUGUAGUCUUUUAUCCCUCACCCACAUCCCACCCUUUCCUACUGAGUCCCCAAGGCCCACUGUGUCAUUCUUAUGCCUUUGCAUCCUGAUAGCUUAGCUCCCACUUAAGUAUGAUAACAUACAACCUUUGGUUUUCCAUUCCUGAGUUACUUCACUUAGAAUAAUAGUCUCCAAUCUCAUUCAAGUUGCUGCAAAUGCCGUUAAUUCAUUCUUUUUUUAUGGAUGAGUAGUCAGAACAUUUUUAGAAGUUUAUGUUCUACCGGAUUUUUCAGACCUGAGCUCUGGCGAAGCGCUCAUCUCAAUAUUCCCAUUAAGAUGUAGAAUGAAAGACCACCAGAGUCCUCCAUGUUUUGUGUGUGUGUGUGUGUGUUAAAACUUUGUUGCUACUUCUACCAUCCUUCAACACUUAUUUUACCUAUUCGUUUACAAGACUGCCUUCUCCACUAAACUUUGAGCACCUUAGCGACAAAACAAUCUUAUGCUCAUUUUUGUGUUUUUAGCACUUGCUAUAAAAGCUGAUACAUCAUAGGUGCAUACUAAAUGAGUAAGUUAACUAACGGGCAGCCGUCUUAAGCCUCCUGUUCUCUAAGGUGUUCUUCCCCAAAACCCAAAUGUCCUCUCUUUUUGCUCAUGACAAUUAUCAGGACUUCAAACUGUGCCAUGAGUUUUUAUCUAUUUUGUCCUGCAUUA